CUCAGGACGAACGCUGGCGGCGUGCCUAACACAUGCAAGUCGAACGGGACCCGCAAGGGUUCAGUGGCGAACGGGUGCGUAACACGUGAAGAAUUUGUCCAACGGCGGGGGAUAGCCGGCCCAACGGCCGGGUAAUACCGCGUACGACCUUCGAGGGGCAUCCCUUGAUGGUGAAAGCAGCAAGGCGCCGAUGGAGAACUUCGCGGCCUAUCAGCUAGUUGGUGAGGUCAUGGCUCACCAAGGCGACGACGGGUAGCUGGUCCGAGAGGAUGACCAGCCACAUUGGGACUGAGACACGGCCCAGACUCCUACGGGAGGCAGCAGUGGGGAAUAUUGCGCAAUGGGCGAAAGCCUGACGCAGCGACGCCGCGUGUGGGAUGAAGGUCUUCGGAUUGUAAACCACUGUCGGGAGGGACGAAGAUCUGACGGUACCUCCAAAGGAAG
rnacentral:rRNA from 1 species